AAUAGUAAAAUUAUACAAUUAUUUAUAAAACUUCAAUAAUGAUAGUUUACUGUCAUUUCAAAUAUCACGCCAGAAAAUAAUUUGGUGUGACGAGAUAAUUCCAUAAAGAGGGAGACACUGUUCGUUGGCACAUUUUUACCUAGCAAGUUUCCAAUAUUGUUUCUUCCUGAUUAUUUUCCAUUCUUAAACUGUCAAAGUGACAAGUUGAGUUAUAUACAUGUACAUUAAACGAUUUGGUACGAACAAUAAAAACAGAAAUGUUGAUGCAAGUGUAAUUGUGCUGACGCUUUGGUAAUUGUGCAUAAAAGGGUACACCUCACCGAUUUCGCUGGAAUUUAAACAUGUUCAGGAUGAAAAUUUUGAACAACUUUUUCCUAUGCAUAUACAUCGAGGUGGCCGGCAAUGGACGCAUAUAACGGGUGUACUUAGAAACUCGAUUUGAGUAGCCGGCCGCCUAGCGGCGGCUGAAAUAAAAAACUUAAAUUGGAUCCUCAGCUUUCUUGCUUAAGCUAUAUUCUGCUGAACCCAUGGAAUGCAGGAGGUCUGUUCAACAAGUUGACGCAUUUGUUGCGGAAUGUCGAACUACAUUUGAAAGAUGAAUAAUAAUUGUACGUGACCAUAGUUGGAAGUGUGCAUAGUCAAUUUUGUCAUAAACGAGAUUUGUAUUAAUAUUUAAUGAAACAUAAGUUGAAAACAAUUUUACGUAUACAAGGUUUAUGGAAAUAUUAUAUGGUAUCAAUUGGAUUACCCACGCACAAUAUGUUGACGAUGUAAUCAUAUCAUUUAAAAACAAAAAAGGAGAUAAAGAAUAUUGAUAAAAAAUAAUUAUCCAGGUUAUGAUAACAUUGUUCUAGACAAUCUGUUAUGUAAGUACAGGCUAUCGACAAGCAGCAAACAGUAAAAAUUCAAGAGCUAGCCGAACAAACCUAACCUAAAUCUGGCAAGUGUUUUAUGCAACGAAUGUACUCUAUUAAAUCUGUAAAACACUCGAGGUAUGUAAGAAUAUUUUGCUUCACUGGUCGAAGUAAGAUAUAUCUAUUACCAAGUAGGAAUAUUCAAUAUUUAUACCAUUUAUUUCUUAUUUAUAUUGUACAUACACAUGUGCAUAUAUUGACAGGAAAAUCUGUGUUUGCAGUAACUUUUUUACAUUAUUUAUUUUUAUGUAAUACAUUUUAGAAUGAAAUAAAGUCCUUUUGUCUUAUAGGAAGAAAGAUAAGAGAAUUUUAUACUUUUAUCCUUUCAACGUCGUCGCCAUCGAGCUUACGAUGUUUAAAUUUUGUUUAUAAUAUUUUGGAAGCAUUGCUACUGAAUGUGAAACCAUGUAUCCGCAGUUUUGCGUAGUGUACAAUUUUACGCGAUUGAAAUGGAAAUAUCAAUCUUGAAUAAAAAAAACUAUUAGUUCUUUUGUUCAUUUUUUGGGUACCUGUUUCGUUUUUCUCUGUAGUAACAUCAGUAAGAAUCUAACCUAUAAACAUAUUGCUUUUUUCAUCUCUCCCAUUUUACUAAACUCUGAAUCAGUCCAGAACCAAUAUUUUGCAAAACUUCACAAGCUUAAUAGGAAUUUGAGUGUUGUCGUUCAUUUGCUAAAUAAUAUAUUUAUUUCAUAUUCAAUAACGAUACGCUUUUAAAAAAAGGGACUUAUGGUGGAUAAAUAUGCAGCGCUAUUAAUUAGGAUAGUCAAAAUCGAAUUUAGUAUAUACCUUUUGUCACCUACAAAUAUGACAAAUGAACAAAAGUAACUAAUGAUAUUAAAAACAAAAGUUAGCUUUGUUUACUUUCUUUUUCUUGUCAAAGAAACGAUAGGCUCGCGAUCUGUAGAAAAAUGCGUCGAUAUGUCAUAACGAAGUUUUCUAUAUAGACAUUUAUUCUUGUAAUCUCAUCUUUGCUCUUUAAGUAAAUCAAAGAUUUAAUGUAACAAAAUUGCUGUAUUUGAUGAUUUCGUUACGAAAUCUCUGAAUGGAAUCAACAGGAAU